AGCGUACACGGUGGAUGCCCUGGCAGUCAGAGGCGAUGAAGGACGUGCUAAUCUGCGAAAAGCGUCGGUAAGGUGAUAUGAACCGUUAUAACCGGCGAUGUCCGAAUGGGGAAACCCAGUGUGAUUCGUCACACUAUCGUUAACUGAAUACAUAGGUUAACGAGGCGAACCGGGGGAACUGAAACAUCUAAGUACCCCGAGGAAAAGAAAUCAACCGAGAUUCCCCCAGUAGCGGCGAGCGAACGGGGAGCAGCCCAGAGUCUGAAUCAGCUUGUGUGUUAGUGGAACGGUCUGGAAAGUCCGACGGUACAGGGUGAUAGUCCCGUACACCAAAAUGCACAGGUUGUGAACUCGAAGAGUAGGGCGGGACACGUGGUAUCCUGUCUGAAUAUGGGGGGACCAUCCUCCAAGGCUAAAUACUCCUGACUGACCGAUAGUGAACCAGUACCGUGAGGGAAAGGCGAAAAGAACCCCGGCGAGGGGAGUGAAAAAGAACCUGAAACCGUGUACGUACAAGCAGUGGGAGCACCUUUAUGGUGUGACUGCGUACCUUUUGUAUAAUGGGUCAGCGACUUAUAUUCUGUAGCAAGGUUAACCGUAUAGGGGAGCCGCAGGGAAACCGAGUCUUAACUGGGCGUUAAGUUGCAGGGUAUAGACCCGAAACCCGGUGAUCUAGCCAUGGGCAGGUUGAAGGUUGGGUAACACUAACUGGAGGACCGAACCGACUAAUGUUGAAAAAUUAGCGGAUGACUUGUGGCUGGGGGUGAAAGGCCAAUCAAACCGGGAGAUAGCUGGUUCUCCCCGAAAGCUAUUUAGGUAGCGCCUCGUGAACUCAUCUUCGGGGGUAGAGCACUGUUUCGGCUAGGGGGUCAUCCCGACUUACCAACCCGAUGCAAACUACGAAUACCGAAGAAUGUUAUCACGGGAGACACACGGCGGGUGCUAACGUCCGUCGUGAAGAGGGAAACAACCCAGACCGCCAGCUAAGGUCCCAAAGUCAUGGUUAAGUGGGAAACGAUGUGGGAAGGCACAGACAGCCAGGAUGUUGGCUUAGAAGCAGCCAUCAUUUAAAGAAAGCGUAAUAGCUCACUGGUCGAGUCGGCCUGCGCGGAAGAUGUAACGGGGCUAAACCAUGCACCGAAGCUGCGGCAGCGACACUAUGUGUUGUUGGGUAGGGGAGCGUUCUGUAAGCCUGCGAAGGUGGCCUGUGAGGGUUGCUGGAGGUAUCAGAAGUGCGAAUGCUGACAUAAGUAACGAUAAAGCGGGUGAAAAGCCCGCUCGCCGGAAGACCAAGGGUUCCUGUCCAACGUUAAUCGGGGCAGGGUGAGUCGACCCCUAAGGCGAGGCCGAAAGGCGUAGUCGAUGGGAAACAGGUUAAUAUUCCUGUACUUGGUGUUACUGCGAAGGGGGGACGGAGAAGGCUAUGUUAGCCGGGCGACGGUUGUCCCGGUUUAAGCAUGUAGGCGGAGGUUCCAGGUAAAUCCGGUACCUUUUAACGCUGAGGUGUGAUGACGAGGCACUACGGUGCUGAAGUAACAAAUGCCCUGCUUCCAGGAAAAGCCUCUAAGCAUCAGGUAACAUUAAAUCGUACCCCAAACCGACACAGGUGGUCAGGUAGAGAAUACCAAGGCGCUUGAGAGAACUCGGGUGAAGGAACUAGGCAAAAUGGUGCCGUAACUUCGGGAGAAGGCACGCUGGUGUGUAGGUGAAGUCCCUGCGGAUGGAGCUGAGACCAGUCGAAGAUACCAGCUGGCUGCAACUGUUUAUUAAAAACACAGCACUGUGCAAACACGAAAGUGGACGUAUACGGUGUGACGCCUGCCCGGUGCCGGAAGGUUAAUUGAUGGGGUUAUCCGUAAGGAGAAGCUCUUGAUCGAAGCCCCGGUAAACGGCGGCCGUAACUAUAACGGUCCUAAGGUAGCGAAAUUCCUUGUCGGGUAAGUUCCGACCUGCACGAAUGGCGUAAUGAUGGCCAGGCUGUCUCCACCCGAGACUCAGUGAAAUUGAACUCGCUGUGAAGAUGCAGUGUACCCGCGGCAAGACGGAAAGACCCCGUGAACCUUUACUAUAGCUUGACACUGAACAUUGAGCCUUGAUGUGUAGGAUAGGUGGGAGGCUUUGAAGCGUGGACGCCAGUCUGCGUGGAGCCAACCUUGAAAUACCACCCUUUAAUGUUUGAUGUUCUAACGUAGGCCCCUGACCGGGGUUGCGGACAGUGUCUGGUGGGUAGUUUGACUGGGGCGGUCUCCUCCCAAAGAGUAACGGAGGAGCACGAAGGUUAGCUAAUCCUGGUCGGACAUCAGGAGGUUAGUGCAAUGGCAUAAGCUAGCUUGACUGCGAGCGUGACGGCGCGAGCAGGUGCGAAAGCAGGUCAUAGUGAUCCGGUGGUUCUGAAUGGAAGGGCCAUCGCUCAACGGAUAAAAGGUACUCUGGGGAUAACAGGCUGAUA
rnacentral:rRNA from 1 species